rnacentral:lncRNA from 1 species
AAGUCUUAAGUGCCAAAUGUAAUUCAUGUCAGAUAUAAGAUCAUUAUUACAGAUGGAACUAUUUACAUGUGAAGGUAAUGGAACAGCCUUGUUAUCAGACAAAAAGUCAUCAUUACAAGAAACUGACACAGAAGGCAAUGCAACAACCUUGCUAUCAUUACAAGAAGCAGAUACAGGACAAAUAGAAGUAGAGGAACAACUAACAGAGGAGGAAGGGGAAGGAGGAACCCAAGCCAAUUUAUAUAAGCCAGCAGCUUCUCUACCAAGAUCCAGUGGCCUCCUCAGAGAAGGGUCAUGUAUCAUGUGUAG